rnacentral:rRNA from 1 species
GACGAACGCUGGCGGCGUGCCUAACACAUGCAAGUCGAACGAAAGGGUCCGGGUGAUGGGGGCGGCCGGGUGCGUAAAGGGGGGAGAUACGCGCGUAGGAUCGGCAUAAGAGUUGGAGACGGCUGCUAGAAACGGAUGAUAAUGCGGGAUAAGAGAUUUGGCGGCUGGGGGUGGGCUCGCGGCGUUUCGGGUUGUUGGUGGGGUAGUGGGCUACCAAGCCGUUGACGGGUAGCCGGCCUGAGAGGGUGAUCAGCCACUUUGGGGCUGAGCUACGGCCCAGGCUCCUCCGGGAGGCAGCAGUGGGGAAUAUUGCACAAUGGGCGGAAGCCUGAUGCAGCAACGCCGCGUGCGGGAUGACGGCCUUCGGGUUGUAAACCGCUUUCGCCUGUGACGAAGCGUGAGUGACGGUAAUGGGUAAAGAAGCACCGGCUAACUACGUG